AAAGGGGCAGUAAAGCGUGGGUAACCUACCCUGGGGAUGGGCAUAGCCGUUCUAACGAGCGGGUAAUUCCCAGCGAUCCGUCGUGGGGACAUCCCUGUGACGGGAAAUGAGUUUCGCCUCGGGAGGGGCCCACGUGCUAUUAGCUAGUUGGCGGGGUAACGGCCCACCAAGGCAAAGAUGGCUAGCGGGUGUGAGAGCACGACCCGCGCCACUGGCACUGAGACACUGGCCAGACACCUACGGGUGGCUGCAGUCGAGGAUCUUCGUCAAUGGGCGCAAGCCUGAACGAGCGACGCCGCGUGUGCGAUGAAGGCCUUCGGGUUGUAAAGCACUGUCGAGGGGGACCAAGCUUGGGAAACCAAGUUGAUCGAUCCCUGGAGGAAGCACGGGCUAAGUUCGUGCCAGCAGCCGCGGUAAGACGAACCGUGCGAACGUUGUUCGGAAUCACUGGGCUUAAAGGGCGCGUAGGCGGCAGGCGAGGUCGGGGGUGAAAUCCCACCGCUCAACGGUGGAAGGGCCUCCGAUACCGGCUUGCUGGAGGAGGGUAGGGGUGCGCGGAACUUCUGGUGGAGCGGUGAAAUGCGUUGAUAUCAGAAGGAACGCCGGCGGCGAAAGCGGCGCACUGGACCCUAACUGACGCUGAGGCGCGGAAGCCAGGGGAGCAAACGGGAUUAGAUACCCCGGUAGUCCUGGCCCUAAACGAUGGGUACUAGGUCGUGGGCCGGUCAUGGGCUCACAGCCGAAGCCAAAGUGUUAAGUACCCCGCCUGGGGAGUAUGGUCGCAAGGCUGAAACUCAAAGGAAUUGACGGGGGCUCACAC
rnacentral:rRNA from 1 species